rnacentral:rRNA from 1 species
AGGGAAUCUUCGGCAAUGGACGAAAGUCUGACCGAGCAACGCCGCGUGAGUGAAGAAGGUUUUCGGAUCGUAAAACUCUGUUGGUAGAGAAGAACGUUGGUGAGAGUGGAAAGCUCAUCAAGUGACGGUAACUACCCAGAAAGGGACGGCUAACUACGUGCCAGCAGCCGCGGUAAUACGUAGGUCCCGAGCGUUGUCCGGAUUUAUUGGGCGUAAAGCGAGCGCAGGUGGUUUAUUAAGUCUUGUGUAAAAGGCAGUGGCUCAACCAUUGUAUGCAUUGGAAACUGGUAGACUUGAGUGCAGGAGAGGAGAGUGGAAUUCCAUGUGUAGCGGUGAAAUGCGUAGAUAUAUGGAGGAACACCGGUGGCGAAGGCGGCCCCCUGGACAAAGACUGACGCUCAGGUGCGAAAGCGUGGGGAGCAAAC